UGGAAGAAGAUACACGGUGCACACUGAGGUCAGUGUAACAGUCUCUUUGUCUUCCUAGAUAAAACCCCUCUCUGAUGACUGUGAUAUUGAAGGCACUAUCACAGACAGAUACGGAGUGGACAAAC